rnacentral:rRNA from 1 species
AUUGAACGCUGGCGGCAGGCUUAAUACAUGCAAGUCGAGGGGUAGCAAGAUUGUAGCAAUACAAUUGUUGACGACCGGCAAACGGGUGCGGAACACGUACACAACCUUCCUACAAGUGGGGAAUAGCCCAGAGAAAUUUGGAUUAAUACCCCGUAACAUAGCGAUGUGGCAUCACAUUGCUAUUAUAGCUUCGGCGCUUGUUGAUGGGUGUGCGGCUGAUUAGAUAGUUGGCGGGGUAACGGCCCACCAAGUCUACGAUCAGUAGCUGAUGUGAGAGCAUGAUCAGCCACACGGGCACUGGGACACGGGCCCGACUCCUACGGGAGGCAGCAGUAAGGAAUAUUGGACAAUGGACGCAAGUCUGAUCCAGCCAUGCCGCGUGAAGGAUUAAGGUCCUCUGGAUUGUAAACUUCUUUUAUAAGGGACGAAAAAAGGUCUUUCUAGAUCGUCUGACGGUACCUUAUGAAUAAGCACCGGCUAACUCCGUGCCAGGCGCCGCAGUAAGAC